GAUGAACGCUGGCGGCGUGCCUAAUACAUGCAAGUCGAGCGAACAGACGAGGAGCUUGCUCCUCUGACGUUAGCGGCGGACGGGUGAGUAACACGUGGAUAACCUACCUAUAAGACUGGGAUAACUUCGGGAAACCGGAGCUAAUACCGGAUAAUAUAUUGAACCGCAUGGUUCAAUAGUGAAAUACGGUUUUGCUGUCACUUAUAGAUGGAUCCGCGCCGCAUUAGCUAGUUGGUAAGGUAACGGCUUACCAAGGCAACGAUGCGUAGCCGACCUGAGAGGGUGAUCGGCCACACGGGAACUGAGACACGGUCCAGAGUCCUACGGGAGGCAGCAGUAGGGAAUCUUCCGCAAUGGGCGAAAGCCUGACGGAGCAACGCCGCGUGAGUGAUGAAGGUCUUCGGAUCGUAAAACUCUGUUAUUAGGGAAGAACAAAUGUGUAAGUAACUAUGCACGUCUUGACGGUACCUAAUCAGAAAGCCACGGCUAACUACGUG
rnacentral:rRNA from 1 species